rnacentral:rRNA from 1 species
UACGUAGGUGGCAAGCGUUGUCCGGAUUUAUUGGGUUUAAAGGGUGCGUAGGCGGUUUUAUAAGUCAGUGGUGAAAUACGGCAGCUUAACUGUCGAGGUGCCAUUGAUACUGUAGAACUUGAGUACAGACGAGGUAGGCGGAAUUGACGGUGUAGCGGUGAAAUGCUUAGAUAUCGGAAAGAACACCAAGGGCGAAGGCACUCUGCUGGGCCGAAACUG